CCCACCCAACCGCAUCCCAUUGGCGUCCUGGCCCUCCCCAUCCCUCCUCCACUGUGCUUGGGGAGUAGCUGUGGAGUUAUCAGACCAUUCUGAAGGUCCUAUGAAGGGGAAAAAAGUACGCUACAGGUUUACGGCUAACCAAAGUCACGUGUCGGCGCGGAGGGAUCUCUGGGCACCGAACUUCCGGCCGGUGUUAGUUCACAGGGCGGGGAGAACUCUGAACCAAAGCUAUUACGGUCAAAACCGAAGCUGCCCGGUUGUCACGCGAGACGCCGAUGGAGCGCUCGUCGAGCUGAUUGGCCUAAGCGUGGCGAGUCAUGUAAACCUCAGGUUCCUAUUGGCUCCAAACCUGUACGCUGUAGGAGCAUUAGGUCUUUCGGGGAGGGCGGAGCUACCAGAGGUUCCGGCAGCCAAACUGUCCUACCUCUGGCUCUUGUUUUGGGUGACCCUGCUGCAGUGGCUGUCUCAAGCAUCGCUUCUGGGCAGCUUUAGUCUAGCACGCAGCAGCAGCAACCAGUUCUCCAGGCGUGAUCCUUGCGCCCGAAGCCCUCCCUCCCCAUAUUUGGUGUUCUCUGGACCAAAUGGGCAGGUUUCCGGCCUCUAGAGUUACCUGGUGCAGGCUUUCAGGCUCCUGUCCAAGGAACGCCCUUUGAGGGAAGGACAGAGCAGGGCACUCAUGUUGGAGUCUCAUUGGGAGAUAUUCUAGUUCCUCUAGCUCUGCAACUUUCCUCUGAACUCUGUAGUUGGAAAAAUAUGCCUAACUUCAGGUCUAAACCUUCCCAUUCCUGCCGUCAUAGGGGUGCUUGCUGCUGGUUUAUACAGUGUCUGUUGUCUUAAGAUCAUGUUUAAUUCAACUGGCUCUCAAGCCCCUGGGUAGUUUUGAUUGACUCCUAAGUACUUCCAGGCAUAACCUUCCCAAGAAGUCAUCCAGGUGUGUGAGCAGCCACUUGUUCCGUGCUAAGUGAAACCCAAGUCCUAAUCAGAGCCAACCCUCCAUAAAAGGGUGCUGUUUUGGGAGUGCUGAGAGUCCCUCUUCCACACUCCAGCCCCUUAAAGGCAGAAAUCCUGAGUUUCCACUUCUCUUGAAGUGACUCACACAAAUACCACUUCUGAGAGGGCUGGCUCAGUCAUUUAUUGGCUGGGGCAUUUGAUUUGGCUAAGUGACAUCUCGGAGCCUGUUUCCUUAUCUGCAAAAGGAAGUUGUCUCUCCUUGUCCUAAGAAAUGCGUAAAGCAACUGGCAUAGUGCCUACCACUUAACUGCUCAAUAAUUACUUGCAAGCCACGUACUCUAGCACACACAAUCCUAGCACUCAGGUCUGAAGUGUACCAACGUUCAAGGUCAACCUGAGCUACUAGAGGCCGAAAGAAACAGGAAGGCCAUGCAGAAGGUUAAGGAACAUCCUGAUUUGACACUACAGGAGAAUGUCUGAUGACUUCUUUGUCCCCAGUCUACUACAGAGAUCCAAGCCAGAUGCUUUAAAGCUGAAAAUGGACCUCGCCUAGCACCCAUCUAAGAAAAUACUUCAUAUUGCACACACACACCAGAGUUAUUGGAAAGGAGAGUUUUAUUUUCUUCUUCCCAUGCUGCAGAAGAUGCUGUUUUCCCCAGUAAAAUUUGCUCCUUCAAGGAGAAAAAGGAAUAAAGGGUCUCUGGGCCUCAAAGCUAAGCUGCUCCUAUAUGGACCCAGCUAAGACAGGACACAAAGACUGGUGAUUGAUUCCAUUCUUCCAGCUUGACACACUGACCACCUUGGAAGGGCAGGCAAGAAGGCAGGUUGUGGAUCUGGCCUCUGAGACCAAGAGUUUAAAGACUAGGUGAUCAAAAUAAAAGGUAACACCAAUCUCACCCCCAGUCUGCAGUUAAAUACUGAACCUACAUCCUGGUAUUUUGGCCAUUUAUAAGUCUAAGAGGCUUACAACCUCCCAGCCUGGUGCAAGGGUCAACUUUAGUCCCAGGUGCCUCCGCAUGUACCUUAGCCUUGAGCUUUUAAGCAAAAAAAGCUAGAGUUGUAGCCAGUGCUCUCAGUCCUAUCCUUGGCAGAAGGCUCUAAACACAUGGAGCACCCCUGCGCUCAGGGUCCCUUGUUCCAGAAGCUGAUUUACCUUAAUCAUCUGAGCUCUUUGAAGGAUUACAAUGGAGUAAAAUCAGCCAAGGAAAUGUCCAAGGAGAUGAUGGGUCUCCCAAUAGUUUUUCCAUCUUUUA